rnacentral:lncRNA from 1 species
UGAAGGAAGCUGGAGCGGGGGAGGGAAGCAGGGGAGGCGGCCGGCGCCCGGGCUCCUCGCCGAACAUCCGGGUCUCUCCGCCCCCCGGCCGGCUCGUUCCUCUCCGACGGCCGUUGACGGUUUACGUCGUGGUGGGUCCGGAGGCGCCGCUGGAAUCGAGGAGCCAGCCACGCGCCCUAAUCCCCCCGUCCGGCGCUCGGCUGCACAGGGGCUGGACGGAGGCUGAUAAAUGAGUCUGCGGAGAAACCAGGCGACUCCGGCUUGUAAAAGGUCACUUCGACUUCGUUCUGGGCCUUCCUCCCCGGGGAGGCUGCUCAUGACUCGAACCCAGAGCGCGAAUCCCACGCCAAAGAGACGCAUCUCGCCUCUCGGGCAGGAGGCUGCAUCGCAUACGCGGCCGAGCGUCCUGGAGAUGGACGGAAAACAGCCACUUUAGGCACAACGUUGACACGCCUGGCGGGGGCAGUGUGGGAGCAAACUUCCACCCGGGCCAGGACGUGGCACCCGGCGCAGACACGACCCGCGCGGCCGCCAGGUGAGAGCGCACCCGGGCCCCGGGGCCGAGGCGGCCUUGUGUGUGGGGGCGAUCGGGACAGACGUGGG